rnacentral:rRNA from 1 species
AUACGGAGGGUGCAAGCGUUAUUCGGAAUCACGGGGCGUAAAGGGUGCGUAGGCGGUUUGAUAAGUCUGAUGUGAAAUCCUAUGGCUCAACCAUAGAACUGCAUUGGAAACUGUCAGACUAGAAUACUGAAGGGGCAGAUGGAAUUAGUGGUGUAGGGGUAAAAUCCGUAGAUAUCACUAGGAAUACCGAAAGCGAAAGCGAUCUGCUGGGAAGUUACUGACGCUGAGGCACGAAAGCGUGGGGAGCAAACGGGAUUAGAGACCCUAGUAGUCC